rnacentral:rRNA from 1 species
GACGUAGGGUCCGAGCGUUGUCCGGAAUUAUUGGGCGUAAAGAGCUCGUAGGCGGUUUGUUGCGUCGGCUGUGAAAUCCCGAGGCUCAACCUCGGGUCUGCAGUCGAUACGAGCAAACUAGAGUGUUGCAGGGGAGACUGGAAUUCCUGGUGUAGCGGUGAAAUGCGCAGAUAUCAGGAGGAACACCGGUGGCGAAGGCGGGUCUCUGGGUAACAACUGACGCUGAGGAGCGAAAGCGUGGGGAGCGAACAGG